rnacentral:tRNA from 1 species
GGAAAUGUGCCUGAAACUUAAGGGCAACUUUGAUAGAGUUGAAAACAGGGGCUAAAAUCCCCUCAUUUCCU